GACGAACGCUGGCGGCGUGCUUAACACAUGCAAGUCGAACGGAAAGGCCCUGCUUUUGUGGGGUGCUCGAGUGGCGAACGGGUGAGUAACACGUGAGUAACCUGCCCUUGACUUUGGGAUAACUUCAGGAAACUGGGGCUAAUACCGGAUAGGAGCUCCUGCUGCAUGGUGGGGGUUGGAAAGUUUCGGCGGUUGGGGAUGGACUCGCGGCUUAUCAGCUUGUUGGUGGGGUAGUGGCUUACCAAGGCUUUGACGGGUAGCCGGCCUGAGAGGGUGAACGGGCACAUUGGGACUGAGAUACGGCCCAGACUCCUACGGGAGGCAGCAGUGGGGAAUAUUGCACAAUGGACGGAAGCCUGAUGCAGCAACGCCGCGUGCGGGAUGACGGCCUUCGGGUUGUAAACCGCUUUCGCCUGUGACGAAGCGUGAGUGACGGUAAUGGGUAAAGAAGCACCGGCUAACUACGUG
rnacentral:rRNA from 1 species